rnacentral:rRNA from 1 species
UACGGAGGGUGCGAGCGUUGUCCGGAAUCACUGGGCGUAAAGGGCGCGUAGGCGGCGCGGAUAGUCGGCGGUGAAAGCCCGGAGCUCAACUCCGGGUCGGCCGUCGAUACUUCCGGGCUUGAGCACUGUAGAGGCAGAUGGAAUUCCGGGUGUAGCGGUGGAAUGCGUAGAGAUCCGGAAGAACACCGGUGGCGAAGGCGGUCUGCUGGGCAGUUGCUGACGCUGAUGCGCGACAGCGUGGGGAGCAA